GACGAACGCUGGCGGCGUGCUUAACACAUGCAAGUCGAACGGAAAGGCCCUGCUGUUGUGGGGUGCUCGAGUGGCGAACGGGUGAGUAACACGUGAUUUACCUGCCCUUGACUUUGGGAUGACUUCAGGUAACUGGGGUUAAUAACGUAUAGGAGCUUCUGCUGCUAUUCUUGAGUAGUAAGGUUUCGGCGGUUGGGGCUGGACUCGCGUCGUAUUAGCUUGCUGGUGGGGUAGUGACUUACCAAGGACUUGACGGGUAGCUGGCCUGAGAGGGUGACCGGCCACAUAGGAAGUGAGUUAGGGCCGACACACCUACGGGAGGCAGCAGUGAGGAAUAUAGCUUACUGGGCGGAAGCCUGACGCACCAACGCCCGGUGCGGGAUGAAGGACUCCGGGUGGUAAGCCGAUUUCGCUUGGGACGAAGCGUGCGUGACGGUAAUGGGUAAAGAAGCACCGGCUAACUACGUG
rnacentral:rRNA from 1 species